CACAUCCCACAGUGCCUGCCUUGCUGUGGGCUCCUUUGAUGCUAGAGAAGCCUCUUUGAACUGUUGACUCCAUUGGAAGUCACCAGUUGUACAGAGCAGUCAGGAUGGCUGGAUACCUGGGCCUGACUCACCCUCUGCCUCCUGACUGUGUCCACUAGGUCCUGCAGAAGAGGCUCUCACCACAGGUCCACCGUGUUUCCCAGUCUCUCUGUGUUAAUUCCAUGGACGGGUGUCUGAACAUGGCUGAUAGUCUGCUUUAGCCCAUCCUCAGUAGCACCCUGAGCAUGUUGUGUUUGAGCACACAACAAUAUCCAGUGGAGAAGUUUUCUUCUACAUUCUUACUUAGGAAGGAGACACAGAUUAGUGCUCUCCAAGAGGGCAGUCAAGUUCAAAAUCACUAAAAAGAAAAAGAUCUCACUAACUUGGGAGAAGAUGGAGAAGGAUUUGCCAAUCAGGGGGAAGGCUCUGAUCGCAGUAGAGAAAGAAAGAAGAAUGGAUAGAUGUGGCUUGGAAAAGGAGAAUCUGUGAAAAUGAGAAGAAACUGUGAUCAGAAUAUGUUCUAUGAAAAAUGUCUUAAAUAAAAAAAUCUAUUGGGUAAAA